AUACAUUAUCAUGGAAUAAAAUUUAAACAUUAAAACAAAACCAAGAAAAUAAGAGAAUAAAAGAAAAUAUAGAAAAACUCAAGAAUUGUAUUCUUCAUCUUCAAAUCUCCUUGAAUUCUGCAAAUUCUUCUUAACUUCAAUGACUCUAUCGCUUGACUCUCAACUGUUAAUCAGGUGUUUUUCUUCUCUCCUUAAGUCUUCCGAAAGGUUGUUUUUAUAGGCUUUGGAGUUAGGCCAAGUUGGGUGAAGAAAGAAGUUAAUUUCAGUUGGGAUUUCCUCAUCAAACUAUGUAAAUCGCAGUUUUGCCAAAUUAAUUAACAGAAAUCGCAAUUGCUCUAGAACUACUACAGUAUGUUAAAUUCAACAAGAUUUUUGACCAUUCUAUACACCGAAAUGGGUA
rnacentral:lncRNA from 1 species